AAUUCACCAGCAUCAUCGUAAAUAUUGUCAAAAAUUUAAAAUAAUUUUGAUUAUUAUUUAAGUCAACCUCGGAGUGGUAUUGCCAGCUUUUGUAUCUUUUAGUGUGACCAUGUUGACAUUAACAACCAUAAUAAACGUUAGCAUGACCUUCUUUCUCAUUAUGUUAAAAAGACUUACCGGGUUGAUGGGUCACUGGGUCGACCGCGGGUGAAUCUUGGGUUAAUAAAUAAAUUAAUUUUAUUAUAUAAUAAUAUAUUUGCUAUAAAAAUAAAAAUAGAAAAACUAAAGUUUAAUAUUUUCUAAAUAUUUUUUUAAACAUAAAAUAAUAGUUUGGAUAUGUAUAUAUUUUAUGUUUAAAAAUAUUUAGAAAAUACUUAACUUUAGUUUUUCUAUUUUUAUUUUCAUUUUACAUACAAAAUAUCAAAAAAUAGUUUAGACUAUUUAAAAUUUUCUGUAACAAAGUAAAAGUUAUGACAUCUAAAAAAAUUUAAGAUAUAAAAUUCAUAAAUAUUUAAAUUUCUUAUUUGAAUAAUAAAUUAAACUUCAAAUUCAAAAUAAACUCAAAGUGAGAGAUCAUUGUAAUAAAUUGUCAAUAACGGAAAUAAACUAACAUCAAAUCACAUUAACUAAUUUUGGUUUUCUCUACCAUCGUUCACUUCAUUUUCUUCAGGUGACAUAAUGAAAUCUUCAUCAAAAUCUAAAAAUCACAAAUAUAAAACUGAAAAGGAAAAACCUAACUUUUUUUUUUGUCAGCACCUAACUUUUUAAUUGGAAACUUAGAAUACAAACAUAAUCUGAAAACUUAAUAAAAAGUAAAAGUUAUUUAUUGGUUCAACCGACGGUUCAAUUGGUAUCGGGUUUCGGGUUUUAGUGAUUUUUUGCGGAUUUUUGUGGGUUUCUUAAUAUUGAGUUUUUCACAAAACCCAAAUCGGAUUUUUUUCUGGGUCACCGGGUUUACUGGUUCAACCGCGGAUCCGGAUCGGGUUUCAAAACACUGGUUAAAAGUGUUAUUUUAGAGUUCUUUGUUUUGUUUCAAAAAAGAAUCGGUUACGUACGUUUCAAACUUUCAACGUAUUAUCACACUCAAUUCCAAUAUAUCGAGUUAGCUGUAACAUGAAUAUAUUUGGGAGUAUGAAACAAUUUAUCUUCAAAAUAUGUAAAAUAUCACUCUUUCAAAACAUAGCUACGGGCUAACAAACUCUCACAUUUAAUAUGAUAUUUACAUUUCAAUCAAACUCAAGGUUUUUGAAAUAUCAGAAAUCUUUUGUAUAUAUGUUAUUAGAUUAUUCCUUCGUAACUUACACAUAAACACCUUAAAUUAUUAUAUAUUCAAAUAAUUUUACAGAACUAAACCAAAAUUGAAAGAAACACUUAACAUAAGCAAAAAAAAGCACUAAGUCGAAAACAAAUUAAACCUAAAUCAAAAUCCAAAUUUCAUCGUCAUCAUCACUCGCACCACAAUUAAGCUUUGUCUUCACUUUCCGGUGAGCAGAUGCGUAAGCACCACCACCGUACCACCACCACAACGCAACCCUUUCCGUACGCUUAAAAAUACAAAACCAUAGAGAGAGAGAGAUUGACAGGCGAGUUCAUGGGAAAGAGAGGCUGAGAAGAAAUUGAUGACCGUAGACGUCGUUGUCUCUGCCACGCCACUUCCGCCGAGUUUCCGCUUCACCCUCUCCGUUUCCAUUGAAGUCAAAGAACGAAACAUAGUCUUUAUAAUUAAAGUAUCUUAUGUGUUGCGUUUUUGUAACUUCUCUAAAAAGUUAACAGAGACGCAGUUUUUGGUAUUGCAUUAUUUUUAUCUCGUGUGUUUUAGAAUUGAAGCAUAUAAAGAAACAAAUUGUGAGAAGGGCUAUCUAAUCGACACGUGGCAAAUGUAGUGUAAACGCAUUAAAUGCAAUGCAUCCCUUUUAAUAUAUAAGGGAUAGUAUUAUCUCAACCUGUAUGCAGAAAUAUAUUGCCUUUGUUUUUACGUAGUUGGUUUCUACCAACUUGUGAUUUUCUUUCUUAUUUUUAAAAUAUUGAUAGAGUAUAAUUAACUAUGUUAUAAAAACAAAAAUAUUAUUUUGUGUACCCAAAGGAGAUGUUACGAGAUUUAGAGUCGGUGUACUUUGUGUGUCAUGUGUGAGAUGAUGGGAACUGUCAUGGCCCCCAUGCAAUUAGUUCGUCCGUUAUUAUCAAAGCCAAACCUUCUACCAUUAUUAUUGUUGCGAUUCAAUCCAACGUUGGUCUAUAUCUAAUGUCGCUGUUAUUUAUAUUUUCAUAUUGGAUCGCUUAUUCAUCCUCACACUUCGUUAUCAGUACCUCUUUUAGACACUUUAUAAAAACAAAACAGUAGUCAAAGAAUUUACAUAAACCUACUAUACUAGCGGUAGACGGUAGUUUUAUUUUUGAUUUUGAAGAAUUAUACUAAUUGUUUAUUAAUGAGAUGGGCAAAAGAAAUAUAUAUAUAUAAAGUUAAGUUUAAUCUCUCUUUAGGGCCUCCACGUUGGAUUACACCUCACUAAUUCGGAUGCUGUCAAGCUGACACGUGUCCUCUUUAACAAAACACAGCGUUUUAUUAAGGCGCUUUUAAACUCUGCUUUCUAUAGACAGCGAGAUCAGCCGCAAAAUUUUUUAAGGGUUUAUUGUUUUUCCACGACGAAUCGAAGAGUCAUUUUCUUCUUUGAUCUCUUGAGUGUCUAUAUUUCUCUAAAAUGGCUAAUUCAUCAAUCCUUUUACUUUGAUUAAUUUUGUCGAAAUUAGACAUUCUGUAAACAACGUCUCUUUUUGGAGACUCCGCCAUACAAACUCACCGAUAGAAAAUUCUGGAAACGUAACGUUUCCAAUCGUCACCUUCGAUGGGCUCAUUAACAAGAUCAGUGAUAACAAUGAUUUCGAUUUUGGUUUCUGGAAAAUGAUUUCAAUUUUGGUUUUGUUUGUUAACUUAGCUUACAUUUGUUCAUGUAUAGAUUAUCAUUUUUUAUUCCAGAGUUUUUGUGUAUCGAUGAAGAUUUAGAUUUGUUUGUUGAUCUCUUUGAUUGUUCCUUUUGAUUUCAUCAGUUUCGUCACCGGAAAUCAAGUAAGCAAAUCAUGAACAGGGAGAGAUGGGUUUGGGUUUGAUCUUGGACUCGGGGAAGGAUGAUGAACCAGAUCCAUAUACUCGCGGAUAUGGUAGUUACUUAGUCUCGGACCCGAUAUGCUUCUUUUUUGAAGAAAGGCUCUUACUUGGCUUAGACCAUUGUGGAAUAAAGAUCACUUUCGCCUGAUUUUUUUUUUUAAAUGUCCUCAACUUCUCCAUCUUUAAUGCUGUAUUUCCUGUACUCUCCAGUCUCUUUGUUAUGUAGCUAAGUGCUGGUCUUCUCAUCAUCAGAUGUUGUGGUCACUUCUUGGAAGGUAUGUAAGAGUUGUUUCUCUUUCCCAAGUUUAUAUUAAUGUCUCAACUGAUACUUAGAUUCAUGCCUUUUUUGUUCCCAUGAUUAUAUUAAAGGGAAUGCUCAUGAUUCAGUGCUGUACAGUUAUGGACAUGGCUUCUCAAGGUUUUGCAGCGAAACUUACCAAGUCCCAAGCCAAACAAAUAACAAAUUUACCAGAAGUUGUUCAUGUCACACUUGAUAGUUUAUAUGAACUGACAACCCCACUCAGAUUUGGGCGUAGGCCUUUCUGCUGCCAAUCCGAAAAAUCUUAAUAUGGUGAAGAAGUUAUCAUUGGCAAUGUUAACACAGGAGUGUGGCCAAAAUCUGAAGUCUUUAACGACAAUGGGAUCGGAGGGCUGCCAAAACGCUGGGAAGGAGGUUGUGAAUCACGAGAGGAUUUCAACUCCUGCAACGAAAAGCUCAUAAGAGCCAAAUAUUUAAUCAAUGGGUUCCACCCAUUCCUGGAACACAGUGUUUGCACUUUGCAUAUUUUCUUAAGUUUUUUCGAGAGGUAUCUUUUCCAAGUACUAUCUCCAUCUAAACGUUUUCUUUGUUUUUCAAAGGGCACUGACCAUGUUAUAGUUAUUUUGGUCCUCAUGAUUUGUGAAAUUACCAAUUAGGUUUACCCAUUAUGAGAUGCCUUUACAUUUUUGUAAAAGAUUUUGCUGGAAAUGAAUUUUAAAGGAAAGACACGAGACCAUGUUAACAUUUAAAGGAUUCUUUUGUUCUUUAA